rnacentral:rRNA from 1 species
AUUGAACGCUGGCGGCAUGCCUUACACAUGCAAGUCGAACGGUAACAGGUCUUCGGAUGCUGACGAGUGGCGAACGGGUGAGUAAUACAUCGGAACGUGCCCGAUCGUGGGGGAUAACGGAGCGAAAGCUUUGCUAAUACCGCAUACGAUCUACGGAUGAAAGCAGGGGACCGCAAGGCCUUGCGCGGACGGAGCGGCCGAUGGCCGAUGAGGGCGUUGGUGGGAUAAAAGCUUACCAAGCCGACGAUCUGUAGAUGGUCUGAGAGGACGACCAGCCAAACUGGGACUGAGACACGGCCCGGACUCCUACGGGAGGCAGCAGUGGCGAAUUUUGGACAAUGGGCGAAAGCCUGAUCCAGCCAUGCCGCGUGCAGGAUGCAGGCCUUCGGGUUGUAAACUGCUUUUGUACGGAACGAAAGGACUCCUUCUAAUAAAGGGGGUCCAUGACGGUACCGUAAGAAUAAGCACCGGCUAACUACGUGCCAGCCGCCGCGGUAAUAC